rnacentral:rRNA from 1 species
UACGUAGGGGGCCAGCGUUGUCCGAAGUUACUGGGCGUAAAGAGCGCGUAGGCGGGCCCUUAAGUGGGGGGUGAAAGGUUGGGGCUCAACCCCAACACUGCCUUUCAUACUGGGGGCCUUGAGUGCGGGAGAGGCGAGUGGAAUGGUCGGUGUAGCGGUGAAAUGCGUAGAUAUCAGGAGGAACACCGAUGGCGAAGGCAGGUCUCUGGGCAUUAACUGACGCUGAGGAGCGAAAGCAUGGGGAGCGAACAGG